AUGAACGCUAGCUACAGGCUUAACACAUGCAAGUCGAGGGGCAGCAUGGUCUUAGCUUGCUAAGGCCGAUGGCGACCGGCGCACGGGUGAGUAACGCGUAUCCAACCUGCCUUACACUCUUGGACAGCCUUCUGAAAGGGAGAUUAAUACAAGAUGUUAUCAUGAGUAAGCAUUUUCGCAUGAUUAAAGGUUUACCGGUGUAAGAUGGGGAUGCGUUCCAUUAGAUAGUAGGCGGGGUAACGGCCCACCUAGUCUUCGAUGGAUAGGGGUUCUGAGAGGAAGGUCCCCCACAUUGGAACUGAGACACGGUCCAAACUCCUACGGGAGGCAGCAGUGAGGAAUAUUGGUCAAUGGACGAGAGUCUGAACCAGCCAAGUAGCGUGAAGGAUGAAGGUUUUAUGGAUUGUAAACUUCUUUUAUACGGGAAUAAACGAAUCCACGUGUGGAUUUUUGCAUGUACCGUAUGAAUAAGGAUCGGCUAACUCCGUGCCAGCAGCCGCGGUAAUACGGAGGAUCCGAGCGUUAUCCGGAUUUAUUGGGUUUAAAGGGAGCGUAGAUGGGUUGUUAAGUCAGUUGUGAAAGUUUGCGGCUCAACCGUAAAAUUGCAAUUGAUACUGGCAGUCUUGAGUACAGUUGAGGUAGGCGGAAUUCGUGGUGUAGCGGUGAAAUGCUUAGAUAUCACGAAGAACUCCGAUUGCGAAGGCAGCUUACUAACCUGUAACUGACAUUGAUGCUCGAAAGUGUGGGUAUCAAACAGGAUUAGAUACCCUGGUAGUCCACACGGUAAACGAUGAAUACUCGCUGUAGGCGAUAUACAGUCUGCGGCCAAGCGAAAGCAUUAAGUAUUCCACCUGGGGAGUACGCCGGCAACGGUGAAACUCAAAGGAAUUGACGGGGGCCCGCACAAGCGGUGGAGUAUGUGGUUUAAUUCGAAGCAACGCGAAGAACCUUACCAGGCCUUGACAUCCCUUGCAGAGGUAUAGAGAUAUAUCCGAGGUUAUCAAGGAGACAGGUGGUGCAUGGUUGUCGUCAGCUCGUGUCGUGAGAUGUUGGGUUAAGUCCCGCAACGAGCGCAACCCUUAUUGCCAGUUACUACGUUAAGAGGACUCUGGCGAGACUGCCGUUGACAAAACGGAGGAAGGUGGGGAUGACGUCAAAUCAGCACGGCCCUUACGUCCGGGGCUACACACGUGUUACAAUGGGGGGUACAGAGGGCUGCUACCACGCAAGUGGAUGCCAAUCCCAAAAACCUCUCUCAGUUCGGAUUGAAGUCUGCAACCCGACUUCAUGAAGCUGGAUUCGCUAGUAAUCGCGCAUCAGCCACGGCGCGGUGAAUACGUUCCCGGGCCUUGUACACACCGCCCGUCACACCAUGAGAGUUGGGGAUACCCGAAGCCUGUGAGCCAACAGUUUACUGAGGCAGCAGUCGAAGGUAGAAUCAAUGAUUGGGGUG
rnacentral:rRNA from 1 species